UACGAAGGGGGCUAGCGUUGUUCGGAUUUACUGGGCGUAAAGGGCGCGCAGGCGGCCGCAUUUGUCAGGCGUGAAAGCCCCGGGCUUAACCUGGGAACUGCGUUUGAUACGGUGUGGCUAGAGUUCGGGAGAGGAGAGUGGAAUUCCCAGUGUAGAGGUGAAAUUCGUAGAUAUUGGGAAGAACACCGGUGGCGAAGGCGGGUCUCUGGGCCGAUACUGACGCUGAGGAGCGAAAGCGUGGGGAGCGAACAGG
rnacentral:rRNA from 1 species